GUGGGGAAUAUUGGACAAUGGGCGAAAGCCUGAUCCAGCCAUGCCGCGUGUGUGAAGAAGGUCUUCGGAUUGUAAAGCACUUUAAGUUGGGAGGAAGGGCAGUAAGUUAAUACCUUGCUGUUUUGACGUUACCGACAGAAUAAGCACCGGCUAACUUCGUGCCAGCAGCCGCGGUAAUACGAAGGGUGCAAGCGUUAAUCGGAAUUACUGGGCGUAAAGCGCGCGUAGGUGGUUCAGCAAGUUGGAGGUGAAAUCCCCGGGCUCAACCUGGGAACUGCCUCCAAAACUACUGGGCUAGAGUACGGUAGAGGGUAGUGGAAUGUCCUGUGUAGCGGUGAAAUGCGUAGAUAUAGGAAGGAACACCAGUGGCGAAGGCGACUACCUGGACUGAUACUGACACUGAGGUGCGAAAGCGUGGGGAGCAAACAGGAUUAGAAACCCGUGUAGUCC
rnacentral:rRNA from 1 species